rnacentral:tRNA from 1 species
GCUCCACGGUAGUUCCGAAAGCUCUGAAGAGCCUUGUGUCCCCAGUUCGAAUCUGGGAGGAGCCACCA